GAUGUAACAAAAAAUUGUUUUCUUACUUCAAUCAUGUAUAGAAGUAACUAUAGCGAUCAGCAAAAUGAUUGAGUGGGCCUGUGUCGACAAGGUAGAGUAUUCUGCUGGUAAGGGUGUUAAGGUAGAGUACUGUGUCGACAAGGCAGAGGAAUCUGUUGAUAAGGGUCUAUAGGGUAAAAUAUGCUAUAACAGGUUGACUGGCAGAACAUUUUGAUUGAAUGCACAAACUGGAAAGCUGUUGGUAAUAUCAAUAUUUUCAGUUGAUUACAAAUUACUUUACAGCAAAAAUAUGUCAAUAGAAGCUAAGUGGAGUUACAUUUCGUAAAUUCUUAUAAAAAAGGGAGUGACCUAUUGGCAGGCACACGCAACCAAUGUAUUAAUAUAAAGGAAAAGUCAAAAAGUACAGAUAAUUUUGCUUAAUUUAAAGGUAUAUAUUAAACAUAUUGAAUCCAAUAUUAUAUGGAAACAGACAAUAUUUUGUAAUAAUGAUAUAUUUCAAGAUAUUAGAAAAAUAUACAUCUAUCCAUUAUACUCAUAAAAAAUUGCACUGAAUCAGGUUCACAAAGUGAACAAGUUAUCACUGUAUUUUUAAUUCGAAAAACCGCAUUUGUUGUAUAAAUGUAAAGUUCUUUAACAUAUUCUUUAUCGGGAGUAUUUUAUUCAGUUAUCCAACUCUAUCGCAAUUUAUUCUGUUAAUUCAGAACAUAAAUAGAUUGUAUAACUUGAUUACAAUAUUAGAUUAUGGGAAAGUAUGUUUAUUAGUGUUUAUAAGUGCGUUUCAUAAUUCGUACUAUUACUUUGUUAUGAAUUAUUGUUGUCUUAUGAUGUUUUAAUAUUGGUCAUAUUUCUACAAAUAUAAGUGAUAAUUUGUUAUACAAAAUUUUACUUCAAAUCAAUGACGUCAAUCACUGAUGACCAAUGAGCUACAAAAAGAAAUUUUGAUGUUGGUCAAUAGUGAUCGAGGCGAUCGCAAAUUUAUUAACAUUGGAAAAAAGUAUUAUUAAGCAUUUGUUAUAUAAUUAUAAUUUAAUCAACCAAGACAUGCACUAUUAAUAUAUCAACACUACUUAAAACAGUAUUUCUUCAACAAUUCGUUAUUAAAAGAGACAGUCUUUCAUUCAACUGUAAAGCAUAUAUACGUUUUACGUUAAAAAUCUGAUAUUGUAAUUUUUUCACAUUUAUCAAACUGGCAAAUCUAUACAAAACUGAAUAGUAUGUAUAAUUUAAUUGUAAUAAAUGUACUAUAUCUAUACUCACACCACACGCCAAAUUUUAUAUAGAUACAUACACGCACACACACGAAACAUAUGCUUUUAUAAGUCACCUGGGAUAUAUAAAAGAACUCUUGUAUUAUUGUUACACUAAAUAAACAACAUUAACUUCAUUUUUUGAUUUCCCUUAUUUCUACACAUUAUUUAAUAUUUAUUUCAUUUAUCUACGUCUCUGUAUUUUUAAAAUGUUGAAAUAUGUUGAAUGUUAUUUUAAAAUGUAUAUUUAAGUAGAUUUCAAAUAAAUUUUAAUAUAAUUAUGUCAUCAAAUACGAUCUAUGUACAUAAAAUAAUAAUUACCUGCCCUUAAAUAAUAAAAAAGGUAGAAGUGUCUGUUGAAAAUGUAAGUAAGUCACACAGAUUAUUAAAUAUACACAAAUGAACAUGGUAAAAAGUUCUUAUUAUUACAUCUACACAUGGCAAAUUUAAUGAAUCAACAAAACAUUCUUUUUAUAUCUAUAUAAUGUUAUAUUCAUUGAUAAAUAAAUCAAUCUAACAUAAUCAUUCUCAUCCAUGUAGACAUAUUUCGUAUGUAAUAUAGUAAAUAAUAUUAUGAGUAGUGAUUUUACAACAGAAACAAGUAAAAAUAGAUUUACUCUAAUCAACGUGCUCGUUGUUUAUAACGAUAUAAUUUUUAGUACUAUUUUGUUAAUAAACCUUUCUACCUUACACUUUUCACAAAAAGAUAUUUUCUUAUAAGUUUAUCUAAAUUUUGUAAGGGUGAAAAUAUUUAAUAAACGAGUGAAGUUGAUUACUUUACAAGUAAAUUGCACCAUAAUAUUAUAUAACAACAUUUUCAGAUUACAGUAUAUUAAAACACAGUAUAACAUCUCUUUGCUAAAAAAAAUUGGAGAUUCUUUCAAGACACGUAACAAAUUAAUAUAUUUAAGAAGAAAUUAAAUAAUUGUAAUUCCUAGUUACAUUUGAUUAUUUUGAUUCUUUUACUAUUCGUUUCAUUGUUAACGACAAAUUUACGAGUACUGUAAAUUUACAGAAAUUCAUGCAAUACUCAUUUUUAGUAUGUAUUUCUUUAAAAUUACAUACUCCUCGAAUUUGUUCUGAUAUAGCUUAUAAUUAUAUUUUAUAUCUAACAGUUCAUAUCUUUAUAUUACGUUAUGUUUCAACGUAUUUUAAUAUUGCAAACUAUUAAUAUUCAAUCAUUGUUAUAAAACUUUACUGUUUCUUUCACUUAAUGUUAAACAGUUGCAAGUUGCAAUGAAAAGUAUUUGAAGAAUUGUCCUUUCUUCAUGAGUUGACUAAACUUAGCGUUAAUUUUAUUUUCAUGUAAAAAAAUGUCGAAAUGGAAACAAAUUUUGAUUUUAUGUUACACUUAUUACAAGUGAACAUGGUAUUUUCUUAAUUAUACAAAAUACAUUGUAUUAUUUAAAUUUCUUUUCUAAUUUUUACUCACUUCUCCUCUUCAUUCUAUUGUUCUGUUAACAAUAUAAGUACUAUAUAAUUAAUUUGACCAUCACAGAGAAAAAUUGGUUUUACAGUCUGUGAUGAGCAACUUUAAAUAUAAAAAUUUAUAGUCAUUGUGUUGUAUGAUCUUAAGGUUUUUCUAUAACAGUGGUCGGCAACCUUUCUCGAUCUUGGGUCAGGUUUGAUAAACAAUAAUUCUUUCCUAAAGUUCGCGGAUUAGUAUUAUUUGUCAAUACCUUAAUUAAGUGAAAUUACUUAUACAAGUUAAGACUGUUAAAGAAAUUAAACAACUCAAUUAAAAAUAUUAGUAAAUGAUGUGUGUGGUCGCUUGGUUUUAAAAUAUUUGACUUUAUAUUUGUAACUUUUAAAUGAACACAAUCAUUUUACUGUACUGCAAUAAGACGAUUCCAAAUUAUUAAGACAUUUCAUUUUUGACUAUUCUGGCUUGGUAAACAAUUGAUGAUUCAAUUGUUUUGACUUUAUGAGUAUCAUUGGCUAAUCUGCAGGUCAUAGGUUGCCGACCCACUACUCUAUAUAUCGGCUUUAUGGGAGGUGUGAUACGACAGAGAAAUGAGAUUCUUCAGGUGAAAAUAUAUUACAUUAAAAAGUAACUUUGAUUGAAAAUAAUAAUCUUGUUAGUUACAUACAAACCUAGUUAUGAACGUAACAAAAUAAGUACCUCUGCUAUUCUUGACUAUGACACUAUUUUUCACAAAUGUAUAUUCCACUUAAACAAUCGUUUUUAAUUAUUAAUCCGCACACGGGUAAACGUUUGUCUUAUUUUGAUUAUAAUGGAAUAAACAUAUUUCUGGCGCCUACUUACAUUGACGUUGAAACCAUUUAAUCAGCCGUUUGAAAUGAAUAAGAAUGAAACAUAAAUGUACUAAGUUAUAAAAUGAUGAAAAGCGUAUAAAUUUGUGCCUGUAAAUGUGGAAUUUCUAAUAUGGGUUUAUAACUGUUUUAAUCUAUAACACUUAACUCCAUUUCUGGAGAUCAAUACUCAAACAAAUUCGAAAUGAUUAAAAAAUAUCUUCGAAUAUACUGAUAAAUUCUGUGCUUCUGUAAUGUCUUUAUAAAAUGGACUUCAAUGAAUACAAUGAGGCCAGCAAAUAUAAGCAAUUAACAGUAGGCAAAAAAUAUUAAACAUUUAACUACAUUGUUAAAUAAAGGAAUUUUUUUGUUGGCACUUAAUGUACAAAAAUGAUACAAUUUAAAUGAAUAAUUAAUAUACAUUAAGAAUAAUAAAAAAAAAAAUUGAAGGGCUAUCUGUCAGAAAAUAUAAUAUUAGAGUUGAUGUAACUCAUUCUAGAGUCUCAAUGUGGUAUGUUAAGUGCAUUAAGAAAUUUGAGAUAUGUACAUGUAUAAAAAUUUGUAUGAAUGUGUGCAGCAAAUUUUAGCUAUUAAUAAUUUAAAUACGGAUAUACCACUGUCGUGUAAAACUAUUUAAAAUUAUCUUAUGUUUCACUUACGAAUGCGUCAUUUUCUGAUUAUAUCACACCUUAUGAAACAUUUUGUAUAAAAAUGUAUAACCCCAAAAAAAGACCGAAACCUUUCAUUUUAACAAUAAAUAAGUUAACAUUCUAAUGUUAACACACAAAACUAACAUAUCGUAUGAAUACAUUCAUAAGAAAUCAAUGAUUCUUCGAGAUAUGUAUAAUAAACAUAUGAAUCUAAUAAUUCUGUACUUAUAAAGAAACAUUCUAGUAUUUGAGAGGAAAGUCAAU